GAUUAAGUAGCUUAUCUGUAGAGUAUAAUAUUGAAGAUAUUAAGGAGCUAGUCAUAGCCUAAAUCA
rnacentral:tRNA from 1 species